AACGAACGCUGGCGGCAUGCCUAACACAUGCAAGUCGAACGAGACCUUCGGGUCUAGUGGCGCACGGGUGCGUAACGCGUUGGAACCUGCCCUUAGGUUCGGAAUAACUCCCCGACAUGGGUGCUAAUACCGGAUAAUGGCUGCGGACCAAAGAUUUAUCGCCUUUGGAUGGGCCCGCGUUGGAUUAGCUAGUUGGUAGGGUAAAAGCCUACCAAGGCGACGAUCCAUAGCUGGUCUGAGAGGAUGAUCAGCCACACUGGGACUGAGACACGGCCCAGACUCCUACGGGAGGCAGCAGUGGGGAAUAUUGGACAAUGGGCGAAAGCCUGAUCCAGCAAUGCCGCGUGAGUGAUGUAGGCCUUAGGGUUGUAAAGCUCUUUUACCAGGGAUGAUAAUGACAGUACCGGGAGAAUAAGCCCCGGCUAACUCCGUG
rnacentral:rRNA from 1 species